GAUGAACGCUGGCGGUAUGCUUAACACAUGCAAGUCGAACGGUACCUUCGGGUAUAGUGGCGGACGGGUGAGUAACGCGUGAGAAUCUAUCUUCAGGUCGGGGACAACAGUUAGAAAUGACUGCUAAUACCGGAUGUGCCGCAAGGUAAAAGAUUUAUUGCCUGAAAAAGAGCUCGCGUCAGAUUAGCUAGUAGGUGGUGUAAGAGACUACCUAGGCUUCGAUCUGUAGCUGGUCUGAGAGGACGAUCAGCCACACUGGAACUGAGACACGGUCCAGACUCCUACGGGAGGCAGCAGUGGGGAAUUUUCCGCAAUGGGCGAAAGCCUGACGGAGCAAUACCGCGUGAGGGACGAAGGCUCUUGGGUCGUAAACCUCUUUUCUCAAGGAAGAUUCAGACGGUACUUGAGGAAUAAGCAUCGGCUAACUCUGUG
rnacentral:rRNA from 1 species